rnacentral:rRNA from 1 species
GUGGAUCAAGAUAUAGUGAUUAAUUGGAGUUCUAGUUCGUUUACUUUGAGAAAAUUAGAGUGUUUAAAGCAGCCUCUUGGGGCACUGAAUACAUUAGCAUGGGAUAAUAAAAUAGGAUCUUCACAAUAUAUUUUAUUGGUUUAAAUUGGAUAUGAAGAUAAUGAUUAAUAGGGACAGUUGGGGGUAUUCAUAUUGGGUGGUUAGCGGUGAAAUGCUCGGAUCCAUUCAAGAUGAACUAAAGCGAAAGCAUUUACCAAGGAUGUUUUCAUUAAUCAAGAACGAAAGUUAAGGGAUCGAAGACGAUUAGAUACCGUCGUAGUCUUAACUAUAAACUAUGCCGACCAGGGAUAUGAGUUGUUACGAUUAUGCGCAAGUAUAAUCAAUUUCUUCUUAUGGACCUUGUGAGAAAU